CGGCUCCCGCCGUUCUGUCGUGGGAGGAGAAAUUAUGUACUGUGGCUUUAAGGCCAAGCCUACCUUAUGUCCACAAAUAAAGACUGCUUCCUGUCAGUCCUGUCAACACUUAUAUGCGGAUCGACCAUUACACUUGGAGCCCACGCAGCAAGAAAGUGUAAGGACAGACAUGGUGGACUCGGAACAGGUCCUGGGCGGUAAGGCCCCGAUGGGGCUGGUCCUGGUGCUUCUCCUUUCCAGCCUGCUGGGGCCUCUGGGACAAGUACAAGCUCAAGAUUGUGAGAAACCUAUGAGAGACACCAUGAGUUUAACAGAUGAAGACAUCCAGAAAGAGCAUUUUCCCAGCGGAUCAUUUGUAACAUUUGAGUGUGCAAUGGGAUACAGGAGUACUGGAGGAUCUGGUAAAACCACUUGUGUGGCUGGGACAUGGAUACCUUCGACACUUAGUUGCGAGAUGGUUCGCUGCAAAGCGCCGUUUAUUCCAAAUGGUUCGCAAAAGUCUGGAGCCCGCCCUCCGUAUGUACACAGGAGUUUGGUUGAGUACGAAUGUAACCCUGGAUUUAAGAUGGAAGGGGAGGGGGUCAUGACCUGCCUACUGAACAGCACAUGGUCAUCAACGCCAGAGUGCAAAGCAAUUAUCAUCACCACAACCCCCACUACCACUACUACCACCCCUACAACCAUGACCCCAAAGACCCCCGCCACCACCCAAAAAGACGUUCCCCCUGUUGAUCCAACAAGUUUUCCCGUUCGCCCUGUUGAUCCAACAAGUUCUCCCGUUCCCCCUGUUGAUCCAACAAGUUCUCCCGAUGAUUCCAAAACAUGGUCGCAGUCCUGGUGGUUUAUAGGACUAAUCAUAGGUAGGUUUUAUGGUCUUUAACACCUGCAUGCACAUUAUUUAAGUUCUUUCAUUAUAUUUCUCUGAAUUGCAUUAAUCUUUCCGAUUGAAGGUCUAAGGACAAAGAUUUGGUUGAAAGGUUCACAUUUUAAUCAAGGGCUGAUAAAUCAUCGAUUGGUGAUGAGAGAUUUCAUUUCAGCCAUUGCAAACGAAUGAUGUUACAAUUCACAUUUUUUUUUUCAUGUCCAGCAAAUAUUGCAUAUGCUUGAGGAUAAUUAAGUUCUAACUUAAAGGUCGGGUAUGGGAUUUGCGAAACGCCAGCAGAUUUUGAAAACACACAACUCAAAUGGUCCUACCCCCUCUCCUUCAACGCUGACUCUAACUCCACCCAUUCCAAGUACAUGGACGCGCAAUUAUGCACGAGCGCGAACACAGAUGCGCGAGAACAAGCCAUUAGCUAGUUAGCUAGCUCCAGUAGCUACCGCAGGAUAACAAUAAACAGAAGCUUGCUCUGGGUCACGAGCUUUGAGUAUGUACACGAAGGGGUCGCACGGGGAGCGGGGGAGGGGAGGGCGAGUGCAGUUCGACCGUUUGAUUGACGUACUUACCGUCCAAUGCCACUCGGUGGGUCUGGAAAUCAUUGGCUGGGGUUUUUCGAGCCCUGCCCGUUCCUCAGAUGAUUGACUUGCUAAUUUUCAUGUCAGUACUUCUAACUCAGUGGCUGUAAGUGGGUUACGAUAAGGAUUUCAAGUAAUUUUGCAAAAAUGGCCCAAAAAAGAAAAUUCCAUACCCAACCUUUAAAAAGUGCAAAUAAAAAUGUCUGCCAGCCUAAUGCUCGAUAAUCUACGUGUGACAAGCCACCUAAAGGGUUUGAAACCAGCCCUUUAGCACCAACUACACACAGUGAGAGGAAAUGAUGACCAAACAAUUUAGUCAUUAAAGUGAUGGACAAAAACGCUUAUGAUGCAGCUUCAAACCAAAUCUUAUUUUGCUGACAAAUUACUCGGGAUACCCAAUAAAUGCAUUUAUUUUUCUACAGAGGCCAAUGCGCGAUUAUUUUUCCUUGUAAAUUCAUACAUCUCACUCUUUUCCCAAAAUAGUUAUUCUCAUAAUCAUCAUAUCCCUCACCUUUUGGCUAAUUCGGAAAAAGAGAGGCUCUCAAUCUCUUCGUGCUCCAGUUCCAGUAGAGGAAGACAAGAUAUUGUAGGCUGGUUGCCCUGACGAUGUUCUACUGAUUACCACACCAAGCCGAGAGGGAAGAAUUAACACUAGACCAGGAUUUGAAUGUAAUCUCCCGCCAUAUGCAAACAAUUCAACUGGGGUCCACAGUCAAUAUAAUUGGCACAGUUGGAUGCUUGCCAGGAAAUAUAAUGCAUCCUGUAUUCAUCCAUAUGUAUCUCCUGUUCUUCUCAAUCAGAGGAGUGUUUUUUGGUGCACGCAUGCUUUUCUAAUCAAUCUGGAAUCUGUUCACUUGGCAUCUGAAGGACAUCGAUCACAAAAUCAUAUUGCUUUGGCUUAAGCAUAGCUUACUCCAAUGAAUGCUUCUGAAUUAAUGCUGUAUUAGAUUGAUAGUGUUGCAUUCAAUUAUUUAUUUAUCUUCCACCUUCAACAUGUUUAUUUGCCACGUUUUAAGUUUUGAGAAAAGGUCAAUGCGUUUGAUAGAAACAUUUCUGGCUGCAUUUGCUGCCAAAAGUACAAUUAUUUGGUUGAUUACUUUGCCAUCAACCCUGUAUUGUAAACCUUAUUGUAGAUUGAUUUUUGUUAAGAAAAUAAAAUGGAGCCGUUUUGUAUUGCUACUCGUUCUUGGUUGGUCUAUUUGGCCUUGGUCGUUUUGAACCCAAUUUAUGGUUGUAAGCAGAUGAAUUAAACAAGCACUUUUUGGAGGGGCUUGUUUUUAACCAAUGGGUUGUUGUUUAGUUGUGGAGUUGACGUUAUUGGGUUGGAUGUGUGAAUGUAAAAUAAAAUGUUUUUUUUCCUGUGGUCCCCCACUCAAAUCUCUAAAUGUGGAGAUAAAACAUUUAUAUUGAUUUGAAAUUAAUCAUCGCCCAAUGUUUGAGGUAUGUAUUUUUUGACAAUUUGCACUUAUAGGCUUUGCUGGGGCCGUAGCGCCAUGGAAUUAACAUUCUGUGCUUGUAAAUAAUCUAAAUGAGGUAUAAAUAUGUGUGCAGAUCAAAUCUGAAGCCUCUGAUCAUUGUGUUCCAAUCGUUUGCUAUCGAUUUUCCACAUUCUAAAUGUGACAAAAUGUGAAAAGCGAAAUAAAUCUAUUGACGCCAUUUAAAAAUAUCUAUCAAAAUGGUCAACUGCAUUAGUAAUAUCCAUAAUUUAUUAGCAUUGUAUUUCAUUGUGCCUUGACAACCAUUUGAUAUGAACAUGAGCUUGAAAUUAUAAAAAUGAUUAAAGUACUUCCGUCCA